rnacentral:misc_RNA from 1 species
GUCGUUCUCGUGUAAACGUCCGUCUCUACGGAUAUUUUCACGUGCGUUUUUGUGCUAUUUGUGAAUCGUAGUUUGAGUGUAAAGCAUCGAAAGGUGUGAUUGACAAGGAUCUACUCGUUUAUAGUUGUGGAAAAGAAUCAAACCGAAAAGAGACGUUGAAACGUGCUUUCUCACAGCAGCAGAACAUCCGACCAUGGCAUAUUUUCCUCCUGCUGAGCGGUUAAUACGCUUUAAGAUGUGACUUCUCGAGCAUCAUCAUCGAAUCACGUUUUCAAUAUUGACGUAACUCGUUCACCGAUUUAUUAAAAGCUCACCAUAUCAAUUCAGAGUUCUUAGUAAUACGAUUCUUUUUUUCAUGGUGAAAAAGAUUGCAUCCAAUUCCGAGCUGCAAUUAUCUCGUCUCGAGACCUAUUUUAUCUUCUUCGUCUGAUAAAAACGAUACAAUAAUAGGUUCUGCUUCUACGUUAUUAAUUUAACUCAUCGAUUUUCUGGGACGAAGUUUAACGAAGUUACGAACAACAAGCUGAAAGUUUAAGGAUCACAGAGCAGAGCUUUUGGAAGUUCAUUCAUUCGACGAGACGGAAAAACUCGUGACAAAUCUUCCAUCUAAUCCUCGAGAAUCUCUGUUCAAACACACUUUCGCGUGAAACUGCGAGAAACUUUUAGUAACGGCUAACAAUUGUUCCACGUCCUUCGUUGCACCGUCUCUGGCACGUGGCUCUGAUAACGUAACCAGGAAGCGCAUCGAUAUCCUCUCACCUCUUCACAUUAGUCUCUUGUCCAGCCUGCCGAUCCACUCUUCGAAAAACUUCUUUUUCCACUUUUUUUUUUUUUUUUUGUCCAUCUCAUCGAAGAGAAUUAGUAACGAAAACACACUGCGCAAAGUUCGAGAUAACGGCUCGCGAAAUAAUUAAUCCACGUGGCAAACGAGCAUCUUUUACGACGCAACUGCUCGUCAAAUUGAUGUAAACGUCGUCAUCGUGAUCUCGAAAUAGCGACGAAGACAGCGAGCGAGAACAAACGUCGGAUCGUCGUGGAUCGAACGGCGAUUAGAAUCAUUGUUUCGAUUUUUUGGGGGAAAAGUGGAGAAGAGAGAGCUGUCCGAGCUAAAGAGAAAAGAAGAAAGGGAUCAGGAUAUUGAUCGAGAUUCGGUACGUCGAUCAAAUUCGGGACGAUUUUACGAGGUAAACCGAGUCACAUUUUGCUCAUCAACACUGAGUGGUUCCAAUUGACGGCCGGGUCGACCCUCCAGCGUAGACACUAUUGGUCAGCCUUUUAAUACCGGCAGUCGCGAUUGGAUCAGAUACCCAGAUCGUUCUUGGACAGAAGACAUCGCUCGAGCAAAACUUCGGUUCAAAAGUUUUAACGUCGCCAGUGUCGCGCGAUUUGCUGCCCGUUCGCAAGGGUCGUACACAGAUCUCCAACAGGCGCAGUUCGUCUCAGUCGGUUUAAGUCGGUCAACGAUUGCGUUUAUAAAGAUAAUCAACCAGAACAAUACGAAGGAAGCAAUUGCAUCAGGAAGUCGAACCGACUCUCGACUGUGCUCCGCCGACUGACUUUCGAAAAAAGAUAUUCGAUUUGUCAUUCUCAGAUCUUCGGUGUUGGAGGGAACAAAAAAAAAGAAGGACAAUCGAAGGAAAUAAUCGAACUUGAUAACACGUAUCGCAAGCAGCAUCGUUUCGAUCGACCAGUUGAAUGGCUCAAAUUUAUUGGCUCUUGCUCUUUGAAAGAUCUUGAUCGUUGCGUUGCAUUGCCGACUAUUUGGGAAAGAAAGGAAAUCGAGCCUAGAGGGAGAUUCGUGUUCGCAGUAUACGACCAAGAGGACGAUUUCUGGCCGACUUUUUCGUAAGAUUCGACUUUCCCAGCGCGGAAAGAAGUUUGAGGAACAUCGGGGAACGAAACAAAUACCAUUUGGUUUUACGCCACGAAGCCUCGUUUCCCCCCUUCUGGAUCAGGUUUAUCUUUCCGUCGGCAUCAUGGAACGAAGGAUCCUGAAAAUGUGGUGACGACGUGAUAGGCGAAGGCCUUCGAUUAUCGAGACACUAUCAAGUGGUGUGAGCCAUAGUCGUUAGAAAGAAAAAUAUAUUUUUACGUGUCCAGUGACACCCCAGCGACAAUUCGUUUUUUAUAACGUAUAAUAUAUUAAAAAAAGAAAAAAAAAAAAA